ACGGGAGGCAGCAGUAGGGAAUAUUGCGCAAUGGGGGCAACCCUGACGCAGCAACGCCGCGUGAUUGAUGAAGGUCUUCGGAUUGUAAAAAUCUUUAAUCGGGGACGAAGGAAAUGACGGUACCCGAAGAAUAAGCUCCGGCUAACUACGUGCCAGCAGCCGCGGUAAUACGUAGGGAGCAAGCGUUAUCCGGAUUUACUGGGUGUAAAGGGCGUGUAGGCGGGUCGGUAAGUUGGAAGUGAAAUACCGGGGCUUAACCCCGGAACUGCUUUCAAAACUGCUGAUCUUGAGUGAUGGAGAGGCAGGCGGAAUUCCCAGUGUAGCGGUGAAAUGCGUAGAUAUUGGGAGGAACACCAGUGGCGAAGGCGGCCUGCUGGACAUUAACUGACGCUGAGGCGCGAAAGCGUGGGGAGCAAACAGGAUUAGAUACCCUGGUA
rnacentral:rRNA from 1 species